CCUCCAUGUUAGCAAAUUGAAAAAAAGCAGAGGCCCGGCAGACUGGAGGGGGUCCACCUCUGCAGCCCUCACAGAGGCUGAGGAGAUGGCCCUCAGCCAACAGAGUAUGGGUCAUGUGGCUGAGGGCAUCCCUGGGGGGAGCUCCUCUGAUCCCCCCCACCCCCCCGGAUAGAAGUGCCUUUAUAAGAGGUUGGUUAUUCAAAAUAAUUAAAUAUGUACACGCAACCCAGCGGGUUGCAAAUUAGAUGGGGCAAUAUUCUGGCUCAAGUAAUAAUUUCACUGUCUAAUCAUCUUCUUCCAGUUACUGAUGGCGUCAUCGCCCCACUUGAACCAGAUGCCCUCACCAACCUCCAUGCAAUUGAAGAUGAUGGAGAAACAUUGUCUGCGGCAUUCGAAAGGGAAGAGAAAAGGCCUAUUGAGGAUGAAAUCGAAUCCAAUGAGAGGCCAUCCACUUCUAAAUCACAGCUUACCUCUGUAAGAUUCUCCCUGGAAUUAUAAUGAAACGCUCUACUUGGCACUGUGAAAUCCAAUCUCAUCUUUUGCAUUCCUAUAGCUUCCAGUCAAAGACUUAUAUAAAAUCUAUCUAGAAAAGCAAAUACACAAAGCAGACUUGGAAAUGGACCACCUUAGGCAAAAGAUGCAAAAGGAUGGUUUGGAGAUCCACAUUUUGGAACAUAAGUUAAAGGUGGGUGAGGUGCAAACUGGGAUACUGUUCCCUGCUCUAAAAACAUACCCAAUAUGAAUGACAUUUUUUGUGCUUUCAGGAAAUAAAGAAAUCCUCAUAAAAAGUAGAUUGUCUUUAUUAGAACAUGGGCUGUGGUGGGACAAGUUAUUUUGUUGAACAGUUUACUCAAAGGGUUUUACUCCAGUGAACAAUGCAGACGAUUAUGCUGAGCAUGUGCAUGUAGAGAAGAAGCAUCUGGUUAAAAGCAGUACCAGGGUAUUUUCUGCCCUGCAUUCUUAAUAUGCGUUUCUUGACUUGCAGCAGUUAUAGGUCCGUG